GGACCUUUAGCUCAGUUGGUUAGAGCAGACGGCUCAUAACCGUCCGGUCGCAGGUUCAAAUCCUGCAAGGUCCA
rnacentral:tRNA from 1 species